UACGGAGGAUCCAAGCGUUAUCCGGAUUUAUUGGGUUUAAAGGGUGCGUAGGCGGCCUAUUAAGUCAGGGGUGAAAGACGGUAGCUUAACUAUCGCAGUGCCUUUUAUACUGAUAGGCUUGAAUGUACUUGAGGUAGGCGGAAUGUGACAAGUAGCGGUGAAAUGCAUAGAUAUGUCACAGAACACCAAUUGCGAAGGCAGCUUACUAAAGUAUGAUUGACGCUGAGGCACGAAAGCGUGGGGAUCAAACAGG
rnacentral:rRNA from 1 species